rnacentral:rRNA from 1 species
CAGCCGCCGCGGUAAUACGUAGGGUGCGAGCGUUAAUCGGAUUUACUGGGCGUAAAGCGUGCGCAGGCGGCCCGUUAAGACAGGUGUGAAAUCCCUGGGCUCAACCUAGGAAUUGCGCUUGUGACUGGCGGGCUCGAGUACGGUAGAGGGGGGUGGAAUUCCUGGUGUAGCAGUGAAAUGCGUAGAGAUCAGGAGGAACACCGAUGGCGAAGGCAGCCCCCCGGGCCUGUACUGACGCUCAUGCACGAAAGCGUGGGGAGCAAACAGGAUUAGAUACCCGGGUAGUCCACGCCCUAAACGAUGGGUACUAGCCGUUUGGUGCGCGAUAGCGCUGAGUGGCGAAGCUAACGCGUGAAGUACCCCGCCUGGGGAGUACGGCCGCAAGGUUGAAACUUAAAGGAAUUGGCGGG